GGGGAAUAUUGCGCAAUGGGGGAAACCCUGACGCAGCAACGCCGCGUGCGGGAUGAAGGCCUUCGGGUUGUAAACCGCUUUCAGCAGGGACGAAGGGUUUCUGACGGUACCUGCAGAAGAAGCACCGGCUAACUACGUGCCAGCAGCCGCGGUAAUACGUAGGGUGCGAGCGUUAAUCGGAAUUACUGGGCGUAAAGCGUGCGCAGGCGGUUUCGUAAGACAGACGUGAAAUCCCCGGGCUCAACCUGGGAACUGCGUUUGUGACUGCGAGGCUAGAGUACGGCAGAGGGGGGUAGAAUUCCACGUGUAGCAGUGAAAUGCGUAGAGAUGUGGAGGAAUACCGAUGGCGAAGGCAGCCCCCUGGGUUAGUACUGACGCUCAUGCACGAAAGCGUGGGGAGCAAACA
rnacentral:rRNA from 1 species